rnacentral:tRNA from 1 species
GGAGAAAUGGCCGAGUGGACGAAGGCGCGCGCCUGGAAAGUGCGUAUAUUCCAAAAGAGUAUCAAGGGUUCGAAUCCCUUUUUCUCCG